rnacentral:rRNA from 1 species
AAUAGAUACCCGGGUAGUCCACGCCGUAAACGAUGAGUGCUAAGUGUUAGAGGGUUUCCGCCCUUUAGUGCUGCAGCUAACGCAUUAAGCACUCCGCCUGGGGAGUACGGCCGCAAGGCUGAAACUCAAAGGAAUUGACGGGGGCCCGCACAAGCGGUGGAGCAUGUGGUUUAAUUCGAAGCAACGCGAAGAACCUUACCAGGUCUUGACAUCCUCUGACAACCCUAGAGAUAGGGCUUUCCCCUUCGGGGGACAGAGUGACAGGUGGUGCAUGGUUGUCGUCAGCUCGUGUCGCGAGAUGUUGGGUUAAGUCCCGCAACGAGCGCAACCCUUGAUCUUAGUUGCCAGCAUUCAGUUGGGCACUCUAAGGUGACUGCCGGUGACAAACCGGAGGAAGGUGGGGAUGACGUCAAAUCAUCAUGCCCCUUAUGACCUGGGCUACACACGUGCUACAAUGGAUGGUACAAAGGGCUGCAAACCUGCGAAGGUAAGCGAAUCCCAUAAAGCCAUUCUCAGUUCGGAUUGCAGG